UAGGCAGAUGCUCAUUGGUUUGGGCGUUUAACUGUUAAUUAAAAGUUUGUAGGAUCAAAGCCUUCCUGUCUAG
rnacentral:tRNA from 1 species